rnacentral:tRNA from 1 species
AAGUCUUUAAGUUAAGUAAACUAUUAACCUUCAAAGUUAAAAUUAUUAAUAGUUAAUAAGUCUUA